UGUAUUGAAUUAUCGUAUAUAUAGGAAUCAAAAUGCACAAAAGAAAGAUUAAAAACCGAGGUUCAUCAUCACCUUCUUCCAUCUUCACAGGUCUGAACCUUAGCGCUCUGACACUACUGUUAUGGUUUUUUGUGUUUUUGAUAUUGCGGAAUUUGGUGGAAUAUAUUUUUGUGUGGAGAAACUCCAAUUCUUGUUCUCAUUAAAAUUCAUAGGUAUAUGGCUCUUUAUAUAGAGCUACAUAAAAAUAAAUAAUAUCUUUAAAUAACAAACUAAUCCUAUAAAUUUUAAACAAAUCCUAAAUAUUCUAAAUAAAAAUAUAAAUCAUAAACCCUAAUAUUAUUUUAUUUUAAAUAUAAAUCUAAAACGUAUUUAAAUAUAAAAUCUUUCAAAAAAGAUAUUUAGGCAUUAUUCUCAACAACAAUGACAGAAUGAAAAUUUAAUUCUCAUUAUGUUUGUUUAUUUGCUAACAUAAAGGAAAGGAAGGGUGAGAAUUAUGAUAUAUAUGAAGUUAUGAUACUUCUACUAUAUAGGAUGCAUUAGAGACGGAUUCUCCAAGAGAUAAGGGAGUUAAAUUUGAUAUGUCAUUGUUAAUAUCUCAACUAUAGUAACUAAGGAACAUUAUCUAAGACGGCCUUGUCAUUAUGUUUUGAUUUUUGUACAAACUAUGAAAAAUUUUAACAUGGACCACUUCUUCAAGUGGUCCAUGGUGGACCAUUCAUGAAAAACUCUAUAACUAAUACGAAUUUUACAAAAUCCACCGUUGGAUUGAAAGUUUAUAUCAUAUAGAUUAUCUAUAGAAAAUUUUAGAAAAAUUGAAAAUAAUUUGAUAUGUUAUUGAGAUCCAUCAAAAUUAACGGUCUAUUAAAUACUGUAAAUCUUGAUAAAUCCCAAUAAAAUAUCAAAUUAUUUUCAAUUUUUCUAAAUAUUUUUAUGGAUGCUCUAUAUGAUAUAAACUUCUAAUCUACCAAUAAAUUUUAUAAAAUUCGUAUUCGGUAGAUCACUUGUUUACGGUGAACCACUUAUGAAGGUGGUCCACCGUAGCAUUAGCCUAUAUAUAUAUAUAUAUAU
rnacentral:lncRNA from 1 species